rnacentral:piRNA from 1 species
UUGUAGAUUAGAAUUGAAUGUGUGG